rnacentral:rRNA from 1 species
UACGUAGGGACCGAGCGUUGUCCGGAUUCAUUGGGCGUAAAGAGCUCGUAGGCGGCUUUGCAAGUCGGGUGUGAAAUCCCCAGGCUUAACCUGGGAACUGCAUUCGAGACUGCAUUGCUAGAGUAUGGGAGAGGGAAGUGGAAUUUCCGGUGUAGCGGUGAAAUGCGUAGAUAUCGGAAGGAACAUCAGUGGCGAAAGCGACUUCCUGGACCAAUACUGACGCUCAUGUGCGAAAGCGUGGGGAGCAAACAGG